rnacentral:rRNA from 1 species
AAUAGCUGGAGUUAAGUUGGAACCCGCAAGGGGCGUCCUCCUUUAGGGGCGCGUCCUCGUUCGGCCACCUUUCGCAGGGUGGCUCCCUCCUUCGGGCGGCGUAGGUCCCGACCUCUUCCCUUGAAAAAAUUAGGACGUUCAAGGUGGGCGAUCAGUCCCACGAAUAGUUAAGCACGGGAUAACGAACAGGGCUUCGAUCUGAGUUCGUUGGUUCUUCUCAGAUCGGAGUACAUGAUUGAUAGGGACGGUCGGGGUCGCUCGCAUCGUGUCGUCAGAGGUGAAAUUCUAGGAUUGACGCGAGACGAACAGGUGCGAAAGCGUUCGACAAGGACGUUUUCGUUAAUCAAGAACGAAAGUUGGGGGAUCGAAGAUGAUCAGAUACCGUCGUAGUCUCGACCGUAAACUAUGCCGACCAAGGGCCCGGAAACGUUACUUCGUACGACUCUGCGGCCACUUUUCGAGAAAUCGUGAGUAUUCGGGUUCCGGGGGGAGUACGGUCGCAAGGCCGAAACUUAAAGGAAUUGACGGAAGGGCACCACCAGGAGUGGAACCUGCGGCUUAAUUUGACUCAACGCGGGAAAACUCACCAGGUCCGGACACGGUAAGGAUUGACAGAUUGACGGAUCUUUCUUGAUUCCGUGGAAAGUGGUGCAUGGCCGUUUUUAGUUGGUGGAUCGCUCCGUCUGGUUUAUUCCGUUAACGAACGAGACCUCAACCUGUCAAGUAGCUCGGCGAACCAAUGGGUCAAAGCUCCGGUUCCGAUCGGAGUUCCAUUGCGGUUCGUCGUCAACUAGCCCCCCUUCGCCCUCGCGGCGGAGGGGGGAGCCUCUCGAAGGGACAACCCAGCCCUUUAACUGGGAGGAGGCUUGAGGCGAAAACAGGUCUGUGAUGCCCUCAGAUGUUCUGGGCUGCACGCGCGUUACAGUGACACACUCAACGAGCUUCGUCCUUGCCUGAAGGGGCAGGGGAAUCUUAAAACUGUGUCGUGAUGGGGACGGAUCAUUGUAACUAUUGUUCUCGAACGAGGAAUUCCUAGUAGACGCAGGUCAUCAACCUGCGUCGAUUACGUCCCUGCCCUUUGUACACACCGCCCGUCGCUCCUACCGAUCGAACGGUCCGGCGAGGACUCGGGACGAUCUGAAGCCACGCGGGGUAAGGGGUCAACGCCCAGUUCGGAAUCUUGUUCGAACCUUACCGUUUAGAGGAAGGAGAAGUCGUAACAAGGUUUCCG